CACACUUGAAUUGAAAAUAUCACAAAAUUCCAAUGAAGUCAAAUUCCCCAUUUCUAAGAGUUAAGCGAAAAUAAUUCCCUGAACUUUGUCUGGAUGUAAUGUGGAAAACUGUGCGUUGCUCAACAGCAGAUACACUACCCAUAUCGGAACAUCAUCUUGAUGGUGAAGUUGUGGGGAGUAUCGUUGUGUUCCCCACAUCCCUAUCACUGAUAAUGGUGUUGUUGUUUCAUAUCGGCCUUGUUUUUGUGUCUGAUGUCAAAAGUGUUACUUGGGCUUGGUUCUCCUUGGAUCUUUGGCUUUUAAAUUAAAUUUGGCCCCAUACUUGAAACACCACAUGCGGUUGGGUGUUGCUUGUCUGCAUCGCUCGGAUAGGAAGGAGGGCACCGUAACUUCUAUCGUCUGUGUCUAUUCCGACGCACUUCAAUCUUUUUUGAUGCUGAUAAUGAACGAGAAGAUAUGUGCCAACAUUCUUUGAAAAGGCAGAACAAAUACUAUGCAACUGGGAGUUAGGAGCACAAAACAAUGCUUAAACUGAUAAAAUGUUCAUUUGUGGUAUGAAUACGUCUCACACGGAUUUGGUAUAAAAUAAGUUUUUUUUUAUGAACCUAAAA